rnacentral:rRNA from 1 species
CUUGAGUGUCGGAGAGGUUACUAGAAUUGUUGGUGUAGUGGUGAAAUACGUAGAUAUCAACAGGAAUACCGGAGGCGAAGGCGGGUAACUGGCCGAACACUGACACUGAGAUCCGAAAGCGUGGGGAUCAAACAGGAUUAGAUACCCUGGUAGUCCACGCCGUAAACGAUGGAUACUUGUUGUUGGAGGUAUUGACCCCUUCAGUGACGAAGCUAACGCGUUAAGUAUCCCGCCUGGGGAGUACGGUCGCAAGAUUAAAACUCAAAGAAAUUGACGGGGGCCCGCACAAGCGGUGGAGCAUGUGGUUUAAUUCGAUGCAACGCGAAGAACCUUACCUAGGCUUGACAUGUCUUGGAAGAA